ACCAUGCUAGGCAGGCAUGUACAGCUAACAAUUCUUCCAUACAACAAAUAUAGUUGACCUAUUGCUUAUAGUUUAAGAAAAACAGACCAAAACACAAAAACUUAACACUGAGCAAUGAACCUUGAAAAUGAGGUCAAGGUCAAAUAAAACCUGCGUGACUGACAUAUAGAUCAUAAAAUAUUUCCAUACACCAAAUGUAGUUGAACUAUUGCAUAUAG